rnacentral:rRNA from 1 species
AACGAACGCUGGCGGCAUGCCUAACACAUGCAAGUCGAACGAAACCUUCGUGCCUAUUUGCGCACGGGGGCGUAACGCGUGGUAACCUACCCGUGGGUUCGGAAUAACUCCCCUAAAGGGAUGUUCAUACCGGAUAAUGUCUUCCGACCAAAGAUUUAUCGCCUUUGGAUGGGCCCGGGUUGGAUUAGCUGGUUGGUAGGGUAAAAGCCUACCAAGGCGACGAUGCUUGGCUGGUGUGAGAGCAGGAUAAGCCACACUGGGACUGAGACCCGGCCCAGACCCGUACGGGAGGGAGGAGUAGGGAAUACUGGGCGCGGGGCGAAAGUCUAGUCAAGCAAUGCCGGGUGAGUGGUGAAGGCCUUAGGGUUGUACAGCCCUUUUACACGGGAUGAUAAUGACAGUACCGGGAGAAUAAGCUCCGGCUAACUACGUG